UCCAAAACAGCUCCCCCUUCUGAAAAACCCAUUUGCGCUGCUGCUGCUCGACGCCCUCGAUGUCCUCGGUAUUGUCCGGGAUUCCAGUGAUUCAUCCUGAGAUCAAGAUAAAAGGAGACGAUGCUGGAGUUCCAUGAGGCAUUCUAUCUGGAGGAUCUUCAAGAUAAUGUGCAAAGGAAAAAAAAUCAGUACUCUGUGUCCCCUUGUUUAUAAGAGAUGCAAGUUUGAUUUUCCUUGACCACGCUCCUGGUGGGACGUUUGGUAAUUCUCCCGCCCGCGUACGCCCUGAGGAUUGAUAUUUGUUACCCUACCUUAUAUAUAUAUAUAUAUAUAUAUAUAUAGUUGGUUAUUAAACAAUGUUCAAAAAUAAGGUUUUCUCUAACUGUUGGAUUGAAAUCCAACGUUUCUAUUGAAAGAACAAUGAAAAGUGGGAUGUGUGGUAACUUUUAGGAACAAUGAUCCACAAUGAAAAGUGAGAAGCAGUUUUUAAUCAAAACUAUUCGAUCAUGAUCAUUAUUGUUACAGUAUUUAGUAAAUCUCAAUCAACGAUUCUCAUUUCUAGUAGCACCUCAAACCCAAAAAAACUUGUACAUAAACCAACCAACCACCCUCUUUGCAACCGGGUACAACUUAAAGACAUUGUAUACAUCAUUGUUUUUGGUUCACUUCUCUCCUUGUCAUUUUGCCGCUCAACCUUUUCAUCCUUCAUUCUUUUGCGGGUGUUCGUAUACAGUGACAUAGUGCGUCUGGGUUGUACCUAGUUGUUGAAUGGGUGGUUGGUUGGUUGAUAGAAUUUUUUUUUUUGGGUUUUGAAGUACUACUAGAAAUGAGAUUCGAGAGUUGAGAUUUUGUUAAGCACUAUAGCUAUAAUGAUCGAACAGUUCUAGUUAAACAAGUGUGCUUUUUUUUUAACAGACACCAAUGUUCAUGAGAGGUACUGCACAUCCCAUUUUUUACUAUCCAUCCAAUGAAACCACUUUUUCACUGUUUAUUCAAUGGAAUCGUUGGAUUUCAAUCUAAUAUUUGGGAAAGAAUGUUUAUAGAUAAAUUAUUUAUGAACGUUCUCAAAAAAUUGACCUUAAUUUAUGAGAUGUUAAUAUACUAAAAA